rnacentral:rRNA from 1 species
GACGAACGCUGGCGGCGUGGAUUAGGCAUGCAAGUCGGACGGUAGGGCUUUAUCGUAAGAUAGAGUUUGAGAGUGGCGAACGGGUGAGUAACACGUAGGAAUCUACCCUUAAGACGGGGACAACCCAGGGAAACUUGGGCUAAUACCGGAUGAGAGUGCGAGAGAUUGCAUUUAAAAGGAUGGCGAAAGUUGUCGCUUAGGGAUGAGCCUGCGGUCUAUUAGUUAGUUGGUGAGGUAAGAGCUCACCAAGGCGAUGAUAGAUAGGCGGCCUUAACGGGUGGUCGCCCACACUGGGAUUGAGAUACGGCCCAGACUCCUACGGGGGCAGCAGUCGAGAAUAGUCUACAAUGGCCGGAAGGCUGAUAGUGCGACGCCGCGUGAACGAGGGAGCCCUUCGGGUGUAAAGUUCUUUUCUAUACGAGCAGUGCUAUAUAUAUGGAUAGUAUAUAUAGAGGGAUAGUAGUAUAGGAAUAAGCAACGGCUAACUCCGUGCCAGCAGCCGCGGUAA